AUAUUUUAGCAUGCACAUGUGCCCAAAUAAUUUAUUCUUUCCUUGAGGAUUUUCUUGACUUUAGAUUUGUUUACUAGAAGAUCUGCACAAAAAUAAUGGAGUUGUUUCUUUCCUAUUUCUCUCUCUCUCUCUUUUUUUUUUUUUUUUUUUUUGUUGUUGUUGUUGUUGUUUGUUUUUUCUCUCGAGGAGGCUUUGGGCCAUGUUUCUCCCUGUUGUGGGCCAUCUGUGUUGAAAAUGUGUCCAGAAUUGAAGGUUACCUCAUUGUCACCAGGAAACAGGAAAUAAGUUUGAGAAACAUCUGUUUUUCACCUUGGAUGAUUUUGUUAACUUGGAUGCAACAUUUUGCAGCUGUUUUUCAUUCCACAAACUUUGGAAUACAUAUGAAUGUUCAUGAUUGGAAAACCAUGGUGCAUGUCCGUGUAUACAUUCACAUCCGCUGGAAUUGUGUACUAUGCUGUAUUUGUUCCUACAGUCUAUAUACAAACGUGACCUUUGAUCAACUACUUUUGGAUAAUGUAAUAGAUUGA
rnacentral:lncRNA from 1 species